rnacentral:lncRNA from 1 species
CAAAAAGAUAAGUAAUAUCAACAGAUGCAAAAACAAUCUUAAGCAGUUAAUAAUCAGUUUCCAUGUACAUGUAUAUUAUAUAUGCAAACAAACUAAUGUCCGUAUAUUUAAAAAAAAAAGUUCUUAUUUGAAUAACAUUGAAAUAUGGCUCCGCUCUGUACUGAAUUUCAUCUGAUAUCAUAGUAACGGAUUGUCAUGAGAUAAAUCCCACGGACAAAAACAUGAAAAGUUCGCCAGAAAAAGUCGUUGUACCAUCAUCAAAGGGCAUUGUCAUGAGAUAAAUCUCACGGACAAUAAGUUCAAGAAAAACAUCGCUGUACAGAGAUUAAUAAAUUGUCAUGAGAUAAAUCUCACGGACAAAAAGGUUCAAAAUAAACAUCCUCGUCAAGCAUUGGCAAUUGUCUUGAAUUUUACAACAAAUAUGUACAAUAUGAGCG